AUAGUUACCUCGCAGUGGAGACACCAUGAUCACGUAGGUGAUUUUCCCAGUGUGAGGCUUAUCCAUUGCACUUGGGAUGUGCUGACCCUUGCGACUUCCCCAAGCAUGGGAAACUCUACUGCAUAAUUUGUGGUAGUGGGGGACUGCAUCCGCACUCUCCCCUG